AUGGCCUGGGUUCCUCUUCUGCUCACAUUUCUGACUUACUGCACAGGGGUCACUUCUCAGAAUGUGGUGUUUCAAGAAUUGUUACUGCCCACAAAUCCUGGGGGUACAGUUACACUCACCUGUGGCUCCAGUGCUGGGACUGUCACCACCAACAAUUUUGCUAGUUGGAUUCAACAGAAGCCCUACCAGAAGUCCAGGGGUCUAAUAGUUGAUACCAGUAAUAAGAAUCCAGAAGUUCCCGCCCGAUUCUCUGGCUCCCUGCUUGGAAACAAGGCAGUCCUCACCAUCACUGGAACCAAAGAAGAGGACGAAGCUGAGUAUUUCUGUGUUCUGUGGUUCAGCAAUCAUUCCACAAUUGUGGUGAUUCAAGAAUCGUCACUAGUCACAACUGCUGGAGGCACAGUUACACUCACAUGUGGCUCCAGUACCGGGGCAGUGACCACCAAUCACCUUGCUUGCUGGAUUCAGCAGAAUCCCUACCAGAAGCCCAGGGGUCUAAUAGCUGGAACCAGUAAUAGGCAUCCAGAUGUCCCUGCCCGAUUCUCUGGCUCCCUGCUUGGAAACAAGGCAGUCCUCACCAUCACUGGAGCCAAGGAAGAGGACGAGGCUGAGUAUUUCUGUGCUCUGUGGCUCAGCAACCAUUUCCACAGUGACAGAUGGAAGUGGGGAAGUGAGACAAGAACCCUGAACUAA